rnacentral:lncRNA from 1 species
AUAAAUCACACACAGCUGGACGUUUUAUUGUAUUUUCUCCUUCAAAUGUGUUGCCACUUUCUGGUGAACCAGUUCCUGAUUGUUCCAUUUGGGCACUCCCAGGGUGUCAUUUCAGAAAUGAAAUACAGGCUCAAUGUGAGAAGAAAAGAGGGAACUGCGGUAUGCUGAAAGCAUGAGCUGCGCUGUAGAGGACUUGUGUUUGUAAAGGGAAGAAAAAAUCAGAAUAGAAUAUUAAAUAUACAGAGCCAAAAGUGAUCACUCACUCACAUCAAUGGUCUCACAGAAAAAGUCCCUCUGCUAUAGAGAGUAUCACGCACAUUAUGAGAAGCUGGAGCAGAGACCAACUACUACAACUUGCAGGUAUCUUCGUGACAGAUCUCCUGGGCAUGGGAUGUGGAAGUUGUGGAGAUUGAUGCUGCUUGAAUCGCUGAUUUUAAUACCUUCCCUUAAUAAGUGCCCCUCUUCUGUAUUAUACUUUCCUGGAGCCAUCGCUGAAGAUACCAUGAAACUUCAUACCAGUGAUCCUGAGAUCAGGUCAGCAGCUACCAAAAUGCCCAUAAACUGGACAUCCCAAUUCCAUCUUAGCAUUACAACAGAGCUGGAAAGAAAGCAUAGCCACUUCACGGGACGUGCAUCUGCAAACCACUUUGACUGCACCAUUAACUGUACGUAACUAACCUGAGACAAAACUGACACAAUGCUGGACAUCUUCCUGAGCUUAAUAAAUUCCUUUAAAACAAGUAAGC